ACCUGGCUAGCUCAGCCAGUAGAGCAUGUGACUCUCGAUCUCAGAAUUGUAGGUUCGAGCCCCAUGCUGAGUG
rnacentral:tRNA from 1 species